CCCCACCCUCACCCACGCCCCCCUCCCUCGUGUCGAUCCCGAGCCUCCUCUCUCUCGUUUCUUCCUCCCGUUCCCUUCUUCUUCCUCCUCCUCCCCAUGGCUGCCUACUCUAGAUCUCCCAACUCAGCGCCUAAUCUUUGAGGGGAAGUAGCAAAACGGAUCGAGGAGGGCGAGAGCAGCACGGGGAGGUGUAUUUUCAUGGUGGAUUUGCCCUUCUCCCUCUCCACCUACUCCCCUAGGGAUUGGGGAAAACAAAGGCACUCGAAUGGCUUUUGCAUGAAGGGUGGGAAAAUUAGCAGCACGUGUCGCACACUCAUGCAUUUCUCUAGUGUUAAUCUCGUGCUGUAAUGUAAAUAAUACUAGAAUUUGGUCAACUUAAACUUAGGAUUUGUGGACCAUGUUGGCUCAAUCUCUAGACCUCUGGUGGUGCUUAUCUGAUCUUUAGAUUGGUAUAUCUUGUUAUGUGUGGAUGCUUCCGCUUAAACUCUAAAAACAGGGGAGAUGCUGCCAAUUUUUUCCUUUGCCGGUCUGUGAUAGUUUGCUCGGUGGCAUCUUGAUUUAUGUUUUGUUUGCGGGGGUGUUA